CAACAUUUUCUCCUGUAAUAGAUACUCGAACACAGUGGCCAUAUUAGAGAUAUAUAUUUGAUUUUUUUUAUCUCUUCAAAUUAGUUCUAAUUAAUCUUGAACUUCUAAUUGAACUAUGCAGGAUAUGGAGUUAGAAGUUUUGUUGAAAUUAAUGCCUCAUUUCUAAAAAAAAUCUUCCUGAAAUAAUUAUUCUACAUAUCUUGACCUUUAUUUUAGCUGUUUUGAUUUGGAUUUUGAAUGUCUAAAAUUGGAAUUUCAAAAAUAUUUAGUCACCUCCUCAUAUAUGAUAUCCCUUCUCUUUAUCCUCUUAAUUUUUUUAUCUUCCUCUCUAAUCACCUUUCCUUCAUCCUAACAUUGUAAAAUCUCUUGGCCAAAUUGUUUUUUCAUUAGGCUUGCAUUGCCAAGCUAUAGCAUAAAGAAAUGUUGCUUGGAGAAGGAAGCUAUGACAAGAUUGCAAUUGUUAAGGUUGAUUAUAGAUGACACAUUGAAAUCACCUAGUAGAAAAUAAGAAUGACUUGUUAAAGCACCUUUAUGGUUCCAUCAUAGGAUUAGACCCCAUCAAGAAUGAGUGAAUAUAUUUAUUUAAAAUUUUAGAACAAUAAUUUUAUUUACGCUCUAUGGUGUUUGUUCUAGGACUAGAACCUUGUAUUGCAUGAUUUGUUCAAACCCCAAAUUUUUAUGUUUUGUUAAAUAGAAAUUUAUUUGAUUUACUUAUAUUAGAUUAUUGAUGUUGUUAUUGUAUGAAUGUUAUCAAGUAUUAUUAUGUAGGACAAUUUGGCUUGUUAUGAUUGCCUUGUUGGAUAUAUUAUAUGCAAAUGUAUAAGUUGAAUUAUAUUUAAUUGCAAACGUGUAGUAUGUAUAAGUUCCAUUUUUUGUUUGGUUUUUAUUUGGGAAAUCUUGAUAUGUAGACUAGCAACAAAUUUGACAUAGAUUUACAUGAGCAUUGAUUGAGUUUACAAAAUUUGCAACAAAACUACAAUGAAUUAGAGACAAUCCUAUACUUCUGUGAUGGUUUCCAACACACAUCUGUCACAUAUAUUUUAUUUCAUAAUAAAAUGAUAGAUAGUAUCAUAAUGCAUUCACGCAUUUGUCUCAAACAAGGGAUAACAUUAUUUCCUUGCAAAGUAGUUGCAAUAGUUGUAACAAAGAUUCAUCAUAUAAUUGAGAUUAUAGUUUUUUCAGCAUUUUUUUGCGAUAGAUUGUUAGCUAUGAAAAUCUCAUCAAAAAUACAUAUUUUUGAUAAAUUUAAGUUGUUUUAUGAAGUAAAUUAUUCGUCACAAAUCAACAAAAAUGUUAUAGUGUUGGGCAAAAUCAUAUAACUAUUUUUUUCUUACAUAUUUUAUGUUAAAUCUAUUUUGUGAACUUAUUUUGGACUUCUAUAGUGAUUUUGCAUUUCUCAAUACUCUCACAUUUAUGAUUUGGGACUAAUUUGUAGAGAGAUUGAAAAAAUUCAAGCACCCACCUUCUCUUUUAGUUGUGUCAUAGUUAUCAUGAUGGAGCAUUGGGAGCAAGCUGUUGAAAUCUCUAUUGUUGUAGCACCUGAGACCUAGAGAGACUCCAGAUUAAAUGCAAAAAGAAGAACUCACCUCUGACUCCUCUGCAAGCUCUCAACUCUGGUUUUCAGUUUACUAUAUGCAAGGCCCCAAUCCGCCUGCAUUGAAUGCAUUCAAGUACCAAGUGAAAUGCUAGAAUUAGCCAAUUUAUCUUGUAAUAUGGAGGAGCUACUUAUUUGUGUGCAUAAUCAGAAGGCAUGAAACUACAAGUGCCAAAUAGGUGAGCAAGCAAGUUUUAGUUGUUGCAGAUUAUAAUCAUUUUCCUCUCCUUUGUACUGUCUACAUAUAUUUAAUUUUCUCAGUCAUGCAGCACAAAAAUAGAGGAGAAAGACUGACAAGAUUUCCCUUUUGUUCAUUUCUACAAAAUAUGGUACAGAUUGCCCUUUAAAUUUGCCUUGCAUUGCAUUCAA